ACAAAAUACCUUAAGUGAACCACACAUAAAUACAGUUAUUUGGAUUAGCUUUAAAUCAGACAUACAAAUCUAAUCCUUACAGAAUUUAAAAAAGUAUACCUUUUCUCAUACCAUUAUCAGCCUUAGUAUUUAUAACAUUUUUUUUUAUUUUAGAACCAUUUUUUAAUGAAUAGUCUUAAAAAAUAGUCUGUAUCAUUAACAUUGCAAUGUGACCAGACCUCUAAUCGAUUUCACUGAUAAAUAUUGCAAUGUGACCAGACCUCUAAUCGAUUCCACUCGUGGAUAACUUAGCUUUCAUUUCAGAACACUUUGGAACACGUUCGAAUUCGGAGGAAUUUUCUUAUUUUUUGUUAGCAUGCUUUAUUUAUAUGAACGAAAACCGAAAUGCUCGGACUCUUUGGGUUGCUAUGACAAAUUGCGAAAGGAAUGGGAAGAAAAGUCCAGGAAUCAGGAAAAUCACGAUUCAGAAAAUAUUUCCAAUGGAAAUGAAAUUGUGCAGCUUACUGAAGGCGGAGCAGGAGUUUCUAAGCGCCAAUUCCAAGGAAAUCCGGGAGUUGAGAAUGUGGAACAUCUUCGUGACAUGCAAUUUCCACCUCGAAAAAUUCCAAAAAAAGAGAUAGUACUACCCGUAGAAGAGAUGCGGCCAGUCCGACAUGAUCCUCCUUUCCGUAGGGGGGCUUUGGGGCGGCCACUUACGGCCCGGGAGCAACGAGAAUAUUGGACGAAGCUGUAUGAACACAUUGCCUGGAGUGUGAAGAGUGGCGCUUUUCAGUUGCCACCGCUAAAGCCAAAUCAAUGUUGCAAAUGCCGUCUUCACCUGACCAAUCUCGAGCAGAAAACCAAACAUGAAUUACUUUGCAAGCCGGAGCUUUACCAUCUGGGUUGUCCAUGUGGUUUUCUCACCAACAAGAUGCAAAGUUUGGCACCUCAUCGGGCAAAUUGUUCGAAGAGCAAAAAUAUUAAGAGUAUGGGUGUUUGUGGUUGGAUUCCUUUCUUGAGCCCAUCUCAACGUCAGUGGCCAAUCUUUGAUGAUCCUAACAGGACUAAUGAGUCGCACCGAUAACUUAAUUGGCCCUAUUUCAUAGAAUGUUUUGUCAUCAUUAUCAUAUACUAUUUUCACAAUUUUUAAUUUCUGCAUGAAGAGGCAGUUAUUAGUUUUAUACUUCUGUUAACUGGCCGUUGAAUAAAACAUCUUUAAAUGGAA